rnacentral:rRNA from 1 species
UUAUGUGGCUAUACAAACUUGUUGAUGCACGAUCUUGUCUGAUCUCAGAAGCCAAGAAGGGCUGGAUCCUUGUUAGUACUUGGAUGGGAGCCCACUGGGAAUACCACAUGCCACAGUGG